ACACAUAUCCAACACAUGUUACCAAUAGUAGCAAGUUUCAUCCAUAGAUAUACAUAGUUUCAUCAAUAUUACACAGUUUCAUCGAUAGAUAGCAAGUUUCACAAAGUCAAAACUAUCUUAUUACUAAGAUCUUCUGUGGAUCUUGUUCCUUUCUUCCAACCUGCAUAACAAAAACACUAAGAAAGAGAAAAUGGGUUAGGAGUAGAAAUGUUGCAUUUCACUUGGUGAAAUGCAAUGCUGUAGGAUGUAUUAGUGAUUAAAAUAUACUUUUUAGAUUAUUCAAGAUGUAUUAGUGAGUAAAAUAUAAUGCAUUUAAAUUGCAAGCACAGAGGCAGGAAGCAGUGCAUGCACCCACUGAUUUAAGAUUGUGCCUUCAUUUCAUAUAAAAAUAUAUGUUCAUUUGAUGGUAUAAAUCAUGCUCUUUAUAUCUGGCCGGUCCAAUGAUUUAAUUAAUUAUUUUUGGAUUAUUUGGCAUACUGCUGUAACUAAACGAAACCAAUUGAGAAGCAAAUACAAAACUCUCAAGGCAUACACAAAAUUCGCAACUAAAUUAAUAUCGAGAUGACACAUAUAAUCAGUACUACUAUAUGGUAGAAGGGGGGAAACUGAAGGCAAUGCUCUAAGAGGAACUUUUUUUUGCGUGUAAUAACCUCCUUGUGAAAAUAUGUUGAGUAACCAUUUAAGUUGAUUUUUCCAAACUACUCCAAUCCUUUUAGAUCAGUUACAUCAGUAUAAAUGAACAUGCUCAUAUAAACUAAUAAUACUUGCCAGCCAACGCCAAUGGGUAUUACAGAACUGAUAGUAGAUGGUGUUAAAAUUACCUACUCAUUAGAAGAAUUGUGAUGUCAACCAUAGAAGAACCAUUUGUAGAACCACUAAAUACAUAAUACCAAGUCCAGUUGUCCAAAUUAAAAUAUGAGGCGUCAGGUCGAUCUUACUGAACAAAAAUCCACAUGAGGCACCUGCAAGUCACUCCACAAUGACAUAAGCACAUCUUUUUUAAACAGGAAAAUAGAGGGCUGAAUUGUGGAGUGCAAAAGGGCGGCCUUGAAACUGAUUGAUCUAAAGGGUAGAGUUAGUAUUAUCAAGGCCAAAACCAAAACCAAUCCCAGUUCUAACACAUGACACACACAACGUAUAGACAAAAAGGGCCAUCUAAAAUGUCUACUUGUUCUAGUGGCCAACACGUGGUAACAGGCAAAAACAUCCACGAAGUCUCUCCUAAACCUCAUAGCCUUCAUUGACAGCUAUCUUGUCAUGUGUGUUCUACUUGUUCAUAAAGCAUCAAUGUCAAGAGCAACAUGGAUAAUGCUGGAUACAUGGAGAACAGAGUCAUAUAACAUUUCCAGUAUCCAAAUUUACUGCAGUACUUUUUAAAGCUAAGUUGAACGUCUUGUAGGAACAAAAAAGAAAAGAAAACAGCCGAGUCUGAAUCUCACCAUGCUACAAGACUAUACCUACCACACACAUUUCGAGUCAGCAUUUUAAAUCGGAAUGUGCCGGUGACUACUGCUGAUAUGGUCAGUUUGAGCUUCAUAACUCUAAUUAUGAAAAAGAAAGUGCAUUGAAAUCAACUUGAUCCGGCGUUGCCGAUUUUUACAUGUAUACACCCAUUUGGAGGCAAAUCAAACAAAUUAUGCACGGCGGACUGCUCCAACUAUGAGCAGGACCAACCCCAAACUAGCAAAUUGCAGCCAAGAGACAAGAGGAGGGCUAAGCUAAGUAGCUAAUCAUUCAC
rnacentral:lncRNA from 1 species